CCAGGAUUGUCUUGAACUCCUAGAUUCAAGCAAUCCCCCUGCCUCGGACUCCCAAGGUGCUGAGAUUACAGGAGUAAGCCACCAUGCCCAGCCCGCUGUGAGCUUGUUAACAAGCACAGCUCUGGGCCCAUCCCUCCAGAGUCAGAAACAGAAGGUCUAGAGUGAGCGGGUCCCUGAGCGGGCCUCUCCCUCCCUCUGCCAUCCCAAGGGGAGAAGCCAUGGGGACCCUUGGCCCUAGCGCAGUGCUAUCCCCACCCCACCACAACUGCCUCCACCAAAAGAGCAGAAGGAACGUCACCAGGAUGCCUCACACACCGGGGCUAACAGCCCAGCAGGAGGCUGACAUGCAAUCAGUUACAACCCUGCCUGGAAAGUGGUGGCGGAACAGUGGGGUGUGGCACCCCCCAGGGGGCUGCAAUCCACCGUGAGUUUCCCAGCAAAGCAGGUGUGCCCGGGCACUGCUCCAAGACUGACGUCCAUGAUUCACUCUACAAAUCAAAGUGGAAGUCAGGUUAUUCCUAUACAUACAUCAGCCUUACUGACAUGACAGGCUUCCUAGAAUGUUCUAGGUGAGGAGUUAGAGCAACCAUGCCAAAAACCCGGCCCAGCCCAUGGACAUGUGUCCUCCUGUGACUGCCUUGGGACGGUGGAAAAGGUUGAGAUUCUUGGCGCUUCAGCCACAUCACCUUCAGCUAUUUUAUAUAUUGGUCCUCUGGGUAAGAAUUUUUUUAAGAAACAGCUUCUGCUGCUAAGUGAGUCUGCACAUGCCUGAUGUGGACUAAGGGGAAGUGUCCAGAGAGAAAGCCAUGAAUGAGGGACAAGAACCUGUAUUUUGCAGAGAAUCAUGGCAAGGAGGCUCUGAGAAGCUCCCAGCCAUGUUUCCUGAGGCCUCCUCAGAAGCCAAGCAGAUGCCAACGUCAUGCUUCCUGUACAGCCUGCAGAACCAUGAGUCAAUUAAACCUCUUUUCUUUAUAAAUUAUGCAGUCUCAGGUAUUUCUUCACAGCAAUGAGAGAACGGACUAAUCCAAAGAAAAAGACCCAUCUUCAAGGCACUUACAUUCUAAUUAUCCAGGCAGCAACAUGUAAG
rnacentral:lncRNA from 10 species